GGCCGGGUGGUCUAGUGUGGUCAGGACGUUAGCCGCGUAAGCUAAAGACGCGGGUUCGAUUCCCGCCUCGGCCA